GUUCUUAUUUUGUUGGUAGGGUGAUUGAAGUGGCUCGUGAUGGGUCCAAAAUUUAAUAUUAAAUUUAGUCUCUUAAGUGUUAAAUGAACUGUUAUUUAUUAAAAUUAGAAUUAACUUCUAACCUUGCAUAUACUUCCUUAUAAUGCUUCUCAAUCCACUUGAAUAAAUCAAAAUCCUGAAUAAAUCCAAAGCCAGAGGAACAAAACUUGGUGUUUCAUCCACUGCUAAAACAAAUGCAAGUGCCAAAAGCAGAUAAAGGAGGAAGAGAAAUAAGAAGAAUGGUGCAGGUGGUGGUACAAUCAUGGUCCCCUGGUCCUAUGCUAGUGGAGGUUAAGAACGUUCUUCAAACUUAGGUACAGCCUUUAUUUUUCUCUUUUUAAAAAAUUGGAAUUCUAGAGGGUUUUGUAGGAUUGUUGAAGUUGGAAGAGUGAGAUAAAUGGGUUUAUUGAGAUUUGAGGAUCAGUUAAAUGAUGGAGCUUGCAUAUGUUCUUUUCAAGAGAGAAUGUGCUAUCAAUUUUUUGUUAUUUUGAUGUGCAGGUUAUUUUAUUUUCUUGAAAAUAAUUUUUUGAA